UACGGAGGGUGCGAGCGUUAAUCGGAAUUACUGGGCGUAAAGGGUGCGCAGGCGGCCGAGCAAGUCGAGUGUGAAAGCCCCGAGCUUAACUUGGGAACUGCGCUCGAAACUACUUGGCUAGAGUGUGGCAGAGGGAGGUGGAAUUCCACGUGUAGCGGUGAAAUGCGUAGAGAUGUGGAGGAACACCGAUGGCGAAGGCAGGCUCCUGGGCAAACACUGACGCUCAUGCACGAAAGCGUGGGGAGCAAACAGG
rnacentral:rRNA from 1 species